UGUGACGUCAUUUAUGGACGGCCCCCGAGCCUUAAUUCUUGUUGUGUGAAGGCUGCUGGCCCGUGCCUCGUCCGGCGUAUCCCCUGCGCACUGAACGACUCUGGUCGCCAUCAGCAGCCGCACGUUUGGACUGUGGGAUCGCGUGCCGGGCCGUGGGUGAGGCCACACUAAUGGGUCUGGCCAGUGGCAAGUCGACCGAGGUGCCACACGUUUAACGUCCCCCAAGCAGCCACCUGAACCAUCUCCACAAGCUUCGGGAGAGGAAGGCCCAUCUGCCCGGUGGACUGCUCUUCGUGAGGAGCCGGGUUCGAUGGGACAAUUUCAAAUUCCCCUCGGAACCCUCAGGAACUGUCAAAUGACAAUGCACCCAGGAAAACAUCAGACGUUUGCUGCCAGGGCUUGCAUGCAGGUAAGCACAUUGCAGAAUUUAUAGUGAAAUAUACUUUCAUUUUUUAAGAACAGUUUUACCGUGCAAGUUUCUUGACCAUUUGGAAUAGGUGUAUAUAAUUGCCUUUGCACGCCUAUUUGAAGGUUGAUCUUUAUAUUGAUAUGUGUCCUGCACCAAGGCCGUAGCCAUGGAGUCAACAUUGGGGGGACCAAAUCUUCCAGGAGG